rnacentral:misc_RNA from 1 species
GCUUAUACGAAUGGUAUUGAAGCCCGAGUAUCAAAUACUACUAAUGAAGGAUUAUUCCUCUUAUAGAUCAUUAAAUCUAUAGUUUCUCGCCAUCUUAUGCAUAAGUCUAGAAAUACAAGUCCAAAAAGUCUGAGGAAGUUUAUGGCUAAAAUGUAUGGAAAAGGCUAAAAUAAUGUCAAUAGUAAAUCUAUGAAACUCGGGCUUCAAUACCAUUCGUAUAAGCAUUGCUGACCACAUCUCUGGAGCCAACCUUACUGCUUGGCGUAGAUAUUGAAACCCAUUAACCACCCUCAUGAACAUUGAAUGGCCCUCAGACUUAGAUUCCUCUCUUGCUUCGUGUUUCUCAUCUAAAAUGUAACCAACAACUUCAUCUUCUAAAAUAACAUCAGCCACCUUAAUCAUAUCCCGGACAAGGAAAACACGCACCCUCCAACCCUUUUCAGAUAGAAUGAAAUGCAAAAGAUCAUCCGUGGCACCAACGACAGCACGCAUAUCAAAUGAUUUCCAUUCCAAGGUAUUUGAAGAAUUUGCUUCAGAAUUAGAGGCCUCUCCUGCAGACUCCGAAGCCUGUUCAGAUAUCGCCACUAUCAGGCGCUCUAACCGAUUCCAUCUCACAGAUCCAUCAUUGCAGAUGAGAAGUUCCCUCAAAAUUCUUCUCAUAUCAGGAUUUGGGUCAGC